rnacentral:rRNA from 1 species
GGACUACCCGGGUUUCUAAUCCUGUUUGAUCCCCUUGCUCUCGCGCCUCAGCGUCAGGUAUAAGCUAGAGAACCGCUUUCGCCACCGGUGUUCUUCCACAUAUCUACGCAUUUCACCGCUACACGUGGAAUUCCGUUCUCUCCGCCAAUCCUCGAGAUAAAUAGUUUCAAAUGCAGCUCCGAAAUUGAGUCCCGGAAUUUCACAUCUGACUUAUUCAUCCGCCUACGCGCCCUUUACGCCCAAUAAUUCCGAUUAAUGCUUGCACCCUCCGUAUUACCGCGGCUGCUGGCAC